GUAAAAAAUGUAAUGGGUUCAAUUUCAUCCCUACCAAUUACUUAUCCUAUGGGCAGUCACGAGGGAUUAAUUGAGAUCGAUUAUAAUUGGGCAUAAUCUAUCAUUUUAUGAUACUAUAUGCAUGCCAGAUGUAUUUAUUUCUCGGUUUGGCUCGUUCGGUAGGGUCGUUUGACACUUUCCCGAAGGGUAUCUUGAAGCGUAAGUAAGGGAGUGAUGUACAAUCAAACUUAUUUCUCGAUUCAAUAGAAGCCUGGCCUGAUUCAAUAGAAGCCAAAAGAAGUUAAUACGGUACCCAAAUAACGAUAGAUAUGUCAAAAGCAGGUCAGAUUACACCCAUUCCUAAUUCUAAAUAGAAUGUCACGGCUAGCCACCUCACUUAGUGUACCUUCCCUAGAUCGGCCUUUGUUUCCUUCCCCCUCUACUCUAAGGCUCAUUCGCUCGGAUGUAGUCAAAUUCUCAUUCUAAGGUCUCAUCCUUUAAGCAUUCGCUAGGCCACCUAAGACUCACAACUACACCGAUCGAUGGGGCUCACUUGCUUUCUUCUCAGCUCGCUCCCUG
rnacentral:lncRNA from 1 species